UACAGAGGGUGCUAGCGUUGUUCGGAAUCAUUGGGCGUAAAGGGCGUGUAGGCGGUUUGUUAAGUCAUGUGUGAAAUCCCUCGGCUCAACCGGGGAACGACGCAUGAAACUGGCAAGCUAGAGUACCAAAGAGGGGGGUGGAAUUCCCGGUGUAACGGUGAAAUGCGUAGAUAUCGGGAGGAACACCUGUGGCGAAGGCGGCCCCCUGGUUGGAUACUGACGCUGAUACGCGAAAGCGUGGGGAGCGAUCCGG
rnacentral:rRNA from 1 species